rnacentral:rRNA from 1 species
AUUGAACGCUGGCGGCAGGCCUAACACAUGCAAGUCGAGCGGAUGAAGGGAGCUUGCUCCUGGAUUCAGCGGCGGACGGGUGAGUAAUGCCUAGGAAUCUGCCUGGUAGUGGGGGAUAACGUCCGGAAACGGGCGCUAAUACCGCAUACGUCCUGAGGGAGAAAGUGGGGGAUCUUCGGACCUCACGCUAUCAGAUGAGCCUAGGUCGGAUUAGCUAGUUGGUGGGGUAAAGGCCUACCAAGGCGACGAUCCGUAACUGGUCUGAGAGGAUGAUCAGUCACACUGGAUCUGAGACACGGUCCAGACUCCUACGGGAGGCAGCAGUGGGGAAUAUUGGACAAUGGGCGAAAGCCUGACCCAGCCAUGCGGCGGGUGUGAGGAAGGUUUUCGGAUGGUAAAACAUUUUAAGUUGGGAGAAAGGGCAGUAUUUUAAUCCCUUCCUGUUUUGACGUUACCAAAAGAAAAAGCCCCGGCUAACUUCGUG